UACGGGGGGGGCAAGCGUUGUUCGGAAUUACUGGGCGUAAAGCGCACGUAGGCGGACUUUUAAGUCAGAGGUGAAAUCCCAAGGCUCAACCUUGGAACUGCCUUUGAUACUGGAAGUCUUGAGUGUGGUAGAGGUUGGUGGAACUUCGAGUGUAGAGGUGAAAUUCGUAGAUAUUCGCAAGAACACCAGUGGCGAAGGCGGCCAACUGGACCAUUACUGACGCUGAGGUGCGAAAGCGUGGGGAGCAAACAGG
rnacentral:rRNA from 1 species